rnacentral:rRNA from 1 species
AUGAACGCUGGCGGCGUGCCUAAUACAUGCAAGUCGAGCGAACAGACGAGGAGCUUGCUCCUCUGACGUUAGCGGCGGACGGGUGAGUAACACGUGGAUAACCUACCUAUAAGACUGGGAUAACUUCGGGAAACCGGAGCUAAUACCGGAUAAUAUAUUGAACCGCAUGGUUCAAUAGUGAAAGACGGUUUUGCUGUCACUUAUAGAUGGAUCCGCGCCGCAUUAGCUAGUUGGUAAGGUAACGGCUUACCAAGGCAACGAUGCGUAGCCGACCUGAGAGGGUGAUCGGCCACACUGGAACUGAGACACGGUCCAGACUCCUACGGGAGGCAGCAGUAGGGAAUCUUCCGCAAUGGGCGAAAGCCUGACGGAGCAACGCCGCGUGAGUGAUGAAGGUCUUCGGAGCGUAAAACUCUGUUAUUAGGGAAGAACAAAUGUGUAAGUAACUAUGCACGUCUUGACGGUACCUAAUCAGAAAGCCACGGCUAACUACGUG